UUGGUGUUUAGUAGAGAAUAGAAUUAAUAUGUACCAUUAGAUCUACAAGAUCCGACGGCUCCAAAUAAAUUCGAAUAAUUGAAAUAUUAAGCAAACAAAAACGCGUGAAAUUAAAUGCUUCGAAAAUUGACUGUACAAAGGGUUUUUUGGGAAAUUCAUCACGAAGGUAAAUGUGGAAGUUCCGAUUUUCACUCUUCAACUUCUCGCCGAUUCUUAUGGUGUAGAUUAGGGCUUUUCAAACGGACACAAUCUAUAUUCCAGAAAACCUUCUGCAGAUUGAAGAAGAAAGUUGAAGAUCUUCGUCUUUUGGGCAAAUUUUUUAGGCAAUCGACGGAGGUAUGUUCGAAUAUUCAGGCAAACGGCGGAGGUAUGUUCUAAUUUUCGUAGAGAGGCGAAUUUCAUCGAAUAAAGGUUUAAAGAACACGCUUCGCGCAACAAUCGAAAGUCGCAGGAGAUAGCUGCCCUUGAAAAGGAUACGAGAUAUGAGUUGAGAGUUCUUGCGCAGAAUUAUCCUGAUACACUUGGACUAGCGAUCAAGGAUUUCUUGAAAGUGGAUGAUAAUACAAUUGUAUUUGUUGCUGAUCCCACAAAGAAGAUCGCGAAUAUAUGAUUGAAAAUAUCUCACCAAUGAGUAAGCACUCUGAAGACGUUGUGCAUGCAUGCAAAAAGGCAAAACUUGGACAUGAUAUAGCUAUUCAUACAAACUCACAGAGUAGAACAGAUUAAAGUUUAUAAUCAUGUGUUGUC